AUUGAACGCUGGCGGCAUGCCUAACACAUGCAAGUCGAACGGCAGCACGGCAGUAGCAAUACUGUGGGUGGCGAGUGGCGGACGGGUGAGGAAUACGUCGGAAUCUGCCCAGUCGUGGGGGAUAACUAGCCGAAAGGUUAGCUAAUACCGCAUACGACCGAGAGGUGAAAGCGGGGGACCGCAAGGCCUCGCGCGAUUGGAUGAGCCGACGUCGGAUUAGCUAGUUGUGGGGUAAAGGCCCACCAAGGCGACGAUCCGUAGCUGGUCUGAGAGGAUGAUCAGCCACACUGGAACUGAGACACGGUCCAGACUCCUACGGGAGGCAGCAGUGGGGAAUAUUGGACAAUGGGCGCAAGCCUGAUCCAGCAAUGCCGCGUGUGUGAAGAAGGCCUCGGUUGUAAG
rnacentral:rRNA from 1 species